rnacentral:lncRNA from 1 species
AUCCUUCUCUCUGAUUUUUUUCUCCCCGAACACGAAUAUAUGGAGUUGGAGUUGAGGUCAGUGGAGCUCCAGGGGGCCCACGAGGCAGGGGGCGCGCCCCCCACCCUCGUGGAAAGGGUGUGGGCCCCCUGGCCUUGAUUCUUUCGCCAGUAUUUUUCAUUAUUUCCAAAAAUAAUCUCCGUGAAGUUUUAGGUCAUUCUGAGAACUUUUGUUUCUGCACAAAGAUAACACCAUGGCAAUUCUGCUGAAAAUAGCGUCAGUCAGGGUUAGUUCCAUUCAAAUCAUGCAAGUUAGAGUCCAAAACAAGGGCAAAAGUGUUUGGAAAAGUAGAUACGACGGAGACGUAUCAACUCCCCCAAGCUUAAACCUUUGCUUGUCCUCAAGCAAUUCAGUUGACAAACUGAAAGUGAUAAAGAAAAACUUAAAACAUAAAUGCAGAGCACCUUUAAAGAUCAAGGACUGACUAAACAUUGUAAUUCAUGGUAAAAGAGAUCCAGUCAUAGUCAUACCCAAUAUAAACUAAUAGUAAUGGAUGCAAAUGAUAGCAGUGCUCUCCAGCUGGUGCUUUUUAAUAAGAGGGUGAUGACUCAACAUAAAAGUAAAUAGAUAUGCCCUUCGCAGAGGGAAGCAGGGAUUUGUAGAGGUGCCAGAGCUCGAUUUUUGAAAUAGAGAUAAAUAAUAUUUUGAGUGGUAUACUUUCAUUGUCAACAUAACAACCGAGAGAUGGCGAUAUCUUCCAUGCUACACACAUUAUAGGCGGUUCCUAAACAGAAUGGUAAAGUUUAUACUCCCCCUCCACCAACAAGCAUCAAUCUAUGGCUUGCUCAAAACAACGAGUGCCUCCAACUAACAACAGUCCCGGGGGAGUUUUGUUUGCAAUUAUUUUGAUUUGAUUUGCAUAAAGCACGGGACUGGGCAUCCCGGGGACCAGCCAUUUUCUCGUGAGUGAGGAGCGGAGUCCACUCCUCUUGAGAAUAACCCGUCUAACAUGGAAGAUACGGAUAACCCUAGUUGAUACAUGAGCUAUUCGAGCAUACAAAACAGAAUUUCAUUUGAAGGUUUAGAGUUUGGCACAUACAAAUUUACUUGGAAUGGCAGGUAGAUACCGCAUAUAGGAAGGUAUGGUGGACUCAUAUGGCAUAACUUUGGGGUUUAAGGAAUUGGAUGCACAAACAGUAUUGCCGCUUAGUACAAGUGAAGGCUAGCAAAAGAGUGGGAAGCGACCAACUAGAGAGCGACAACAGUCAUGAACAUGCAUUAAAAUUAAUGAACAUUGAAUGCAAGCAUGAGUAGGAUAUAAUCCACCAUGAACAUAAAUAUCGUGAAGGCUAUGUUGAUUUUGUUUUAACUACAUGCGUGAACAUGUGCCAAGUCAAGUCACUUGAAUCAUUCAAAGGAGGAUACCACCCCAUCAUACCACAUCACAACCAUUUUAAUAGCAUGUUGGCACGCAAGGUAAACCAUUAUAAGCUCCUAGCUAAUUAAGCAUGGCAUAAGUAACUAUAAUCUCUAGUUGUCAUUGCAAACAUGUUUAUUCGUAAUAGGCUGAAUCAGGAACGAUAAACUAAUCAUAUUUACAAAAACAAGAGAGGUCGAGUUCAUACCAGCUUCUCCCAUCUCAAUCAGUCCAUCAUAUAUCGUCAUAAUUGCCUUUCACUUGCACGACCGAACGAUGUGAAUAAUAAUAAUAGUGCACGUGCAUUGGACUAAGCUGGAAUCUGCAAGCAUUCAAUAAACAGGAGAAGACAAGGCAAUAUGGGCUCUUGGUUAAAUCAACAAUAAUGCAUAUAAGAGCCACUUCAACAUUUUCAUUAUGGUCUUCUCCUAUCGACCCCCAAAGAAAAGAAAAGAAAUAAAACUAUUUACACGGGAAAGCUCCCAACAAGCAAAAGAAGAACAUGAAAUAUUUUUGGGUUUUCUUUUAAUUAUUACUACUACAGCAAGAAAGGUAAACUAGCUAAACGCUACAACUAAUUUUUUUGGUUUUCUUAAGAUUUUUCAAACACACAAGAAGAAAGCAAGAAAAAGAAAAUAAACUAGCAUGGAUAUUACAGUGAAAGAGUAUGAGCACCGACAACUAGCAAUGAGUGUGUGAACAUAAAUGUAAUGUCGGUGAGAAAUACGUACUCCCCCAAGCUUAGGCUUUUGGCCUAAGUUGGUCUAUUGCCACGGCUGGCCUGGCGGAAAUCCGAAGUUUUAGUUGGGGUCGUACUGAGAUGCAGCAGUUAUUGCAUCGUGGGUUGCAGCUUGGAGGCGAGCUAUCUCAGCCCUCCUCUCGUACUCGUUCGCCUCCUCCCUGGUUAUGAAAUAUCUCCCCUUCUCCUGAAAGUCAAAGAAAGUAGGAGCAGGGAGAGCGACGUGAUAGGUGCGUCGUCUGUCAAAGAUUAGUCGGUACUGGAGGAACUGAUCGUUCCUCUCAAACAAACGAUGACGAACCAUAGCUCAUAAUCUAAAUAAACAGGAGGCAACUCAAUAUCAUACUCACGUAUGGGUAUAUUAAGAAAAUUAGCUAAACGGGUUGCAUAAAUUCCACCAAAGAAAUCUCCAUUGAAUCUAUUAUUAUGCUACCUACGUGCAACAAUGGCUCCCAAAUUAUAAUGUUUAUCUCCUAAUACAGCACUCCUGAGAACACUGAGGUUGGGGACACACAUGUGACAUGCUUCAUCCUUACCAUUUAUGCACCUACCUAUGAAGAGAGCAAAAUAAUGUAUAGCAGGAAAAUGAAUGCUCCCUAUGGUAGCUUGUGCUAUGUCUCUAGAUUCUCCCACAGUUAUACUAGCAAGAAAAUCUCUAAAUUCAGAUUUGUGAGGUUCACUAGGACUACCCCAUUGUGGAAAUUUGCAAGCAGUAUUAAAAUCCUCUAAGUCCAUAGAACAAGACAGUUUGAGAAUUGCGUGACGAUGAAAAUUCAAACCUCCUCACAAAGGAAUCAGUGAGAUAGUGGUACUGACGGCACUUAUCUGCCUCGAAGCUCACAAGAUAAGCGUUACGCACAUAUGCGUUAAAUUCUUCCUUGAUUCCUGCUCGAUCCAUGAAGUCCUCUGAAGGCCAUUCACAAGCCCGCACUUGAGCGUCCCUUGGUGGUUCAUCGUCGACAUCACGCAUUGUGAGCCUGGGUCCUUGUUUCCUUGAAGGGCCACCUUGGUACAUUUUCCUAAACAUGUUUCUUCCUUUGAAAAUUUUAGUAACUUCAAAUAAAAGUGAACCAAACUCAACAAAAUUGAUAGUAACUACUCCCACAAGUGCCUAGAGACUAUAUCAUGCAUUAGAACUACUUGGGACCAUAUAAAUUUGACAUGCAAGCUCAAGAACAUGGUCACCUAGGCAGCACAAAUUUGCAAUGAACAAAGCACUAGAACAAAAACUAAUUGGACCAUUGGAGGAGUCACAUACCAAGGAACAAUCCCCCAAAGCAUUUUUGUGAGAGGUGCUUUGAGCAAGGAGAUCGAAAAUCGCAGCAAAAUGAGCUAGAACUCGUGCUUGAGCUGGUUGGUGAUUUUUUGGGAGGAAGAAGGAGUGUGUGGGUGCAGGAAUAAGUGGAGGGGAGCCACCAUGGGCCCACGAGGCAGGGGGCGCGCCCAGGGGGUGGGCGCGCCCUGGACCCUCGUGGCCAGGUGCUUGCUCCCCCUGAUGUGUUCUCAGUGCCAGAUAUUCUCAAAUAUUCCAGAAAGAAUCAUAUUUCAAUUUCGGGGCAUUUGGAGAACUUUUAUUUUUGGGGUAUUUUUUAUUGCACGGAUAAUUCAGAAAACUGACAGAAAAUACUAUUUUUGCUUUAUUUCAACUAAAUAAUAGAAAGUAAAAGGAGGGUACAGAAGGUUGUGCCUUCUAACUUCAUCCAUCUCAUGCUCAUCAAAAGGAAUCCACUAAUAAGGUUGAUCAAGUCUUGUUAACAAACUCAUUCCAAAUAAUAUGAAACCGGAGAAAUUUCGAAUAACACUAUGUUACCUCAACGGGGAUAUGCACGUCCCAAAUAAUAAGAAUAUCAUAUUUCUUCUUGACAGUAGGUAGAGGAAAUUCAAAACCUCCAAAAAUAAUCGAUGGAAUUUUUCCAAUAGAGUUGAUACUAUGAACUUGAGGUUGUUUCCUCGGAAAGUGUACCGUAUGCUCAUUGCCAUUAACAUGAAAGUGACAUUGCCUUUGUUGCAAUCAAUAACAGCCCCUGCAGUAUUCAAAAAGGGUCUUCCAAGAAUAAUAGACAUACUAUCGUCCUCGGGAAUAUCAAGAAUAACAAAGUCUGUUAAAAUAGUAACAUUUGCAACCACAACAGGCACAUCCUCACAAAUACCGACAGGUAUAGCAGUUGAUUUAUCAGCCAUUUGCAAAGAUAUUUCAGUAGGUGUCAACUUAUUCAAGUCAAGUCUAUGAUAUAAAGAGAGAGGCAUAACACUAACACCGGCUCGAAGAUCACAUAAAGCAGUUUUAACAUAGUUUCUUUUAAUGGAGCAUGGUAUAGUGGGUCCUCCUGGAUCUCCUAAUUUCUUAGGUAUUCCACCCUUGAAAGUGUAAUUAGCAAGCAUGGUGGAAAUUUCAGCUUCCGGUAUCUUUCUUUUAUUAGUAACAAUUUCUUUCAUGUACUUAGCAUAAGGAUUCAUUUUGAGCAUAUCAGUCAAACGCAUACGCAAGAAGAUUGGUCUAAUCAUUUCAGCAAAGCGCUCAAAAUCUUCAUCAUCCUUUCUCGAUGGUUUAGGAGGAAAGGGCAUGGGUUUCUGAACCCAAGGUUCUCUUUCCUUACCGUGUUUCCUAGCAACAAAGUCUCUCUUAUCAUAACAUUGAUUCUUUUAUUGUGGGUUAUCAAGAUCAACAGCAGGUUCAGCUUCUACAUCAUUAUCAUUGCUAGGUUGAGCAUCAACAUGAACAUUAUCAUUAGCAUUAUCACUAGGUUCAUGUUCAUUACCAGAUUGUGUUUCAGCAUCAAAGAUAGAAAUAUCAUUGGGAUUCUCAGGUGUGUCUACAACAAGUUCACUAGAAGCAUGCAAAGUCCUAUCAUUUUUCUUUUUCUUCUUUUUAGAAGGACUAGGUGCAUCAAUAUUAUUUCUCUGAGAAUCCUGCUCAAUUCUCUUAGGAUGGUCUUCAGGAUACAGAGCUUCCUGAGUCAUUUUACCAGUUCUAGUAGCCACUCUAACAGCAAAAUCAUUAUUCUUAUUAUUCAAUUCAUUGAGCAAAUCAUUCUGAGCCUUAAGUACUUGUUCUACUUGAGUGGUAACCAUAGAAGCAUGUUUACUAAUGAGUUUAAGUUCACCUUUAACUCUAGACAUAUAAUCACUCAAGCGUUCAAUCAUAUAAGCAUUGCGUUUUAAUUCUCUACCAAAAUAAGCAUUGAGCUUUCUUGUUUGACAAUAAAAUCAUCAAACUCAUCCAAGCAUUGGCUAGCAAAUUUAGUAGGAGGGAUUUCAGCUUUGUCAUAUCUAUAGAGAGAAUUUACCUUUACUACCUGUGUCGGGCUAUCAAGACUGUGUACUUCUUCAAUAGGUAAUGGAUUAAAAUCAUGUAUUUCUUCAACAGGCAUUAAAUUAAGACCAUGUAUUUCUUCAACAGGGGGUAAAUUCUUAACAUCUUCAGCUUUUAUACCUUUUUCUUUCAUAGAUUUCUUUGCCUCUUGCAUAUCUUCAGGACUGAGAAAUAGAACACCCCUUUUCAUCGGAGUUGGCUUAGGAGUUGGUUCAUGAGUUGGCUCAGGAAGUGUCCAAUUAUUUUCAUUAGUCAACAUAUUAUUCAAUAGAAUUUCAGCUUCAUCUGGUGUUCUUUCCCUGAGAACAGAACCAGCACAACUAUCCAGGUGGUCUCUGGAAGCAUCGGUUAGUCCAUUAUAAAAGAUAUCAAGUAUUUCAUUUUUCUUAAGAGGAUGAUCAAGCAAAGUAUUAAGUAAUUGGAGAAGCCUCCCCCAAGCUUGUGGGAGACUCUCUUCUUCAAUUUGCACAAAAUUAUAUAUUUCCCUUAAAGCAGCUUGUUUCUUAUGAGCGGGGAAAUAUUUAGCAGAGAAGUAAUAAAUCAUAUCCUGGGGACUACGCACACAACCAGGAUCAAGAGAAUUAAACCAUAUCUUAGCAUCACCCUUUAAUGAGAACGGAAAUAUUUUAAGGAUAUAGUAAUAGCGAGUUUUCUCAUCAUUAGUGAAUAGGGUGGCUAUAUCAUUUAAUUUAGUAAGAUGUGCCACAACAGUUUCAGAUUCAUAGCCAUAGAAAGGAUCAGACUCAACCAAAGUAAUUAUAUCAGGGUCGACAGAGAAUUCAUAAUCCUUAUCAGUAACAAAGAUAGGUGAAGUAGCAUAAGCAGGAUCAUAUUUCAUUCUAGCAUUCAGAGUUUUUUGUUUCAACUUAGCUAAUAAUUUCUUAAGAUCACUUCUAUCAUUGCAAGCAAGAAAGUCUCUAGCAGUUUCUUCAUCCAUAACAUAGCCCUCAGGCACAACAGGCAAUUCAUAUCUAGGGGGAGAAUCUUCAUCAUCACUUUCAUCAAUAUUAUCUGUUUCAAUAAUUUCAUUCUCUCUAGCCCUAGCAAGUUGUUCAUCAAUAAAUUCACCAAGUGGCACAGUAGUAUCAAGCAUAGAAGUAGUUUCAUCGUAAGUAUCAUGCAUAGUAGAAGUGGCACCAUCAAUAACAUGCGACAUAUCAGAAUUAAUAGCAGAAGCAGGUUUAGGUGUCGCAAGCUUACUCAAAACAGAAGGUGAAUCAAGUGCAGAGCUAGAUGGCAGUUCCUUACCCCCCUCGUGGUUGAGGGAUAAAUUUUUGUUUUCGCGUCUUUCAAGUUCUUCAUAGUGACCAGCAGAUAUAAAUCCCAAGUGACUCAAAGAAUAGAGCUAUGCUCCCUGGCAACGGGGCCAGAAAAUAGUCUUGAUAACCCACAAGUAUAGGGGAUCGCAACAGUUUUCGAGGGUAGAGUAUUCAACCCAAAUUUAUUGAUUCGACACAAGGGGGGCCAAAGAAUAUUCUCAAGUAUUAGCAGUUGAGUUGUCAAUUCAACCACACUUGGAUAACUUAGUAUCUGCAGCAAAGUAUUUAGUAGCAAAGUAAUAUGGAAGUAACGGUAAUGGUAGCAAAAGUAAUAUUUUUGGGUUUUGUAGUGAUUGUAACAGUAGCAACAAAAAAGUAAAUAAGCGAAGAACAGUAUGUGAAAAGCUCGUAGGCAUUGGAUCGGUGAUGGAGAAUUAUGCCGGAUGCGGUUCAUCAUGUAACAGUCAUAACAUAGGGUGACACAGAACUAGCUCCAAUUCAUCAAUGUAAUGUAGGCAUGUAUUCCGAAUAUAGUCAUACGUGCUUAUGGAAAAGAACUUGCAUGACAUCUUUUGUCCUACCCUCCCGUGGCAGCGGGGUCCUAUUGGAAACUAAGGGAUAUUAAGGCCUCCUUUAAUAGAGUACCGGACCAAAGCAUUAACACAUAGUGAAUACAUGAACUCCUCAAACUAUGGUCAUCACCGGGAGUGGUCCCGAUUAUUGUCACUUCGGGGUUGCCGGAUCAUAACACAUAGUAGGUGACUAUAGACUUGCAAGAUAGGAUCAAGAACUCACAUAUAUUCAUGAAAACAUAAUAGGUUCAGAUCUGAAAUCAUGGCACUCGGGCCCUAGUGACAAGCAUUAAGCAUAGCAAAGUCAUAGCAACAUCAAUCUCAGAACAUAGUGGAUACUAGGGAUCAAACCCUAACAAAACUAACUCGAUUACAUGAUAAAUCUCAUCCAACCCAUCACCGUCCAGCAAGCCUACGAUGGAAUUACUCACGCACGGCGGUGAGCAUCAUGAAAUUGGUGAUGGAGGAUGGUUGAUGAUGACGACGGCGACGAAUUCCCCUCUCCGGAGCGCCGAAUGGACUCCAGAUCAGCCCUCCCGAGAGAGUUUAGGGCUUGGCAGCGGCUCCGUAUCGUAAAACACGAUGAAUCCUUCUCUCUGAUUUUUUUCUCCCCGAACACGAAUAUAUGGAGUUGGAGUUGAGGUCGGUGGAGCUCCAGGGGGCCCACAAGGCAGGGGGGCAGGCGCGCCCCCCACCCUCGUUGAAAGGGUGUGGGCCCCCUGGCCUUGAUUCUUUCGCCAGUAUUUUUUAUUAUUUCCAAAAAUAAUCUCCGUGAAGUUUCAGGUCAUUCCGAGAACUUUUGUUUCUGCACAAAGAUAACACCAUGGCAAUUCUGCUGAAAACAGCGUCAGUCCAGGUUAGUUCCAUUCAAAUCAUGCAAGUUAGAGUCCAAAACAAGGGCAAAAGUGUUUGGAAAAGUAGAUACGACGGAGACGUAUCACUAAUCCACUGUCCUGUAGUUGUGUCAAACCCACCAGCAUCAGUAUUAUGUAGUACUCAACCAAUGACAGUAGAAAAAUGUACUACUUCAUCACCCAUUUCGCGCAGGUGCUUGAUGAAGUUCUGGAACUGGUUCUUGUACCCAGAGAUGUAGCUGCAAACAUGCAUGGAAGACGCACGCAAAAUUAGUUCACAUAUACUAGGAAAUUAACAGAAUAGUUUAUUCGACUAGUGCCAUCAAGUUACACCAAUUCACGACAAGGAGAAGAAAGGAGCAUGACACGACAUAUUUAUGUAAGACGGUUGAUUAUUCAGAGAAGUUAAACUAAGUGCAGGUCAUCCAGAACUGAAUUUCUUGCAAUCCAAACAACACAAACAGCAGGGAGAUGGUUGCAUAGAUACAAAUCCAUGUGGUAGUAGCAAAAUUGACCAAUCUGGACUGCAUCUUCUCUAUUUGGUACUAACUAAAUAAAAAACUGGACUUGUUCAUACAAAUCCCUCUUGAAUUCCUUGACAUAACCAGGAUUUGCAUCUAAUAUUCCUAAUUUAGCGGCAUUAGUAAGCAGAGAAAGAGGGGGAGGGAGAUGGGGAUGCUACCUCCCGUGGUGGGUCGUCAUGGCCGUGCUUGAUCUCGGGCAGGACCUCUUGGUCGCACUAGGGGCAGAGGAGAAGGCCUCUCAUGCCCCUCCUCCUCGAGCAGAGCAGGGCCGACGGCUAGGUGUGCCCCUCAUCCUCAUCCUCCUUUAGCAGGGCAGCAUCUGUUACAAUUUGUGUUAAAAUCUCCUAGGAGUUCAAAGGCUGGAAACAAUCGUCUAGUUAGAUUGUCAAAAAAGAUCAAGUAAUACCAAAAAGAACAGAAACCUGGUCUUAGCAAGCAUAGUACGCUUCAGCAAACAUAAAAAGCCAGCAAACAUAAAAGAUACGUACUAGACUUGGGUACACAAGAUCAGUUACUGGAAAAAUUACACUAGGUCAGAUUAUCGGAUAAAGGUGCAACCAGCACCAUAUUCUUCUAUCCAGGACCAAGUCAUGUGGUGCAAGAAGACAUAUCUAUACAAAUACUUGACUAACACUAUGAUGUUUUAUCUGUGCAAGAAGACAUACAUGUCCAGCAAGCCUAAUUAGUAGUGUCAAACUGUAGCUAUAAAUAGCACAUCAGCAGCAGCAUAAUAUCAGAGAUGUGAUGCCACCGUUUACUAGUGCUAAUGAAAAUUUGCUACACCAAUUUUGACUAGCAGGUAAAGGUUCUAGCAAUAAUUUGGAAAUCUACAAAUAGAAGCAUGAGGCAAUGGUUGCUUGGUACUUUUCCUGUUUGAAGAUCAACCUUUCGCACUGAUUACUGUCAAAUAUAAAAGAUGGCAAUACAUAUUAGUGCUUCGGAGAAUCGGACAGUUCUCAGAAAGUUCUCAGAAUAAUAAUACAAGAAAAAAGGAACACACACAUCAUGCAGCAUAUAAAAGAAUUAUGAAUCGAUCAUCCAUUAGGGGUCCAAGAUCAUGUUAUAAGUUCUCAAAAUAAUUCAGAAUAGUGCCACUUAGAGUCAUCAAUACAAACACAACAACAGUCAACUAAAACUACGGCUACCUGAUUGUCACUAUAAUUUUAGUCAAACCAAGAAAUGAUCAUACAGUUUACUGACUAUAGCCUAAUUUUCUACUGGAUUAUAAAUGUUAUACCGGAGGGAUUAAUAUUAGGAAAGAUUAUAUCACGAGUUCUUGAGAGGAAAUAUACAAAAUCAAGCAGAGGAGGGAGGCAGAGGUCGUGAAAGAAGUUAAAACUGGAAUGCAUGACACAAAUCGAUAGUUCACAUUUCCUUUUCAGAUUUAGUGCAUAGAUAGUAUUUCCUUUAGGUUAAUCACAUAUGCAUGUAUGUAUGAAGCAGAACAUGAAAAGCACAACAUCUAAUUAACUUGAUUGCCUUGCAGGUGACACACAAGAUGAAGAGCACUUGGACAGAAGCUACUAUACUUGUGGAUGUAAUUAACCUAAUCUAAUGUGAUGGGAACAACAUCACAAUUCACAAGCAAGCACCCAUACUCUCAAAUUUAGUAUACAGUUGCUAACUGAAAUAAGUUCAGUUCAAAGCAGAGUAGAGAACAAGAAAUAGAGCUGCUUCAUGGCGCUGCUGCCAUUUUGCCGCAGGUGAGUUCGGCUUCCGAACGACACCGGUAUUGUGCCCCGCAUAAG